GAAGUAGCUCAGUGGUAGAGCAUUUGUCUUGCAUGCAUGAGGUCCUGGGUUCAAUCCCCAGCACA
rnacentral:tRNA from 1 species